rnacentral:rRNA from 1 species
UCUUUUAGUAUUAAUUUUGUGACUCCGGGACACUAAUAAUUUAAUUAUAAACCAAAUAAUAUGGCGGCUCUACUAACAUCUCAGAUAGGAAUGUUCGUAAUCGAAGGUGCGCGAAAAUCUUUCUUAAUUUAUAUUACUUUGUACACCACCGUCCAAAGAUCGGAUUUAAAAAUAUCGGUCUAGUCCUUUAUUGAUAUAAUUUUAGGGGGAAGUCAGGUCAAGGUGCAGGUUAUAAUUAAGUGUGUUGAUGUUCUUCAAUAAUGUUAUUGAAUAUGAGUAAAAAAAAAUUGAAAAAGAUUCAAAAAAGAAUUUGAAAGUAAAAUCAAAAAAGUUUAUUAUACUGGUUUGAAUAUGAUAUUCAGAGUGU